UACAGGGGGGGCAAGCGUUGUUCGGAAUUACUGGGCGUAAAGGGUCUGUAGGUGGCUUGCUAAGUCAGACGUGAAAUCCCUCAGCUUAACUGGGGAACUGCGUCUGAUACUGGCAAGCUUGAGUGCAGGAGAGGAACGCGGAAUUCCAGGUGUAGCGGUGAAAUUCGUAGAUAUUCGCAAGAACACCAGUGGCGAAGGCGGCUCACUGGCCCGGUACUGACGCUGAGGUGCGAAAGCGUGGGGAGCAAACAGG
rnacentral:rRNA from 1 species